rnacentral:rRNA from 1 species
UACAGAGGUCUCAAGCAUUGUUCGGAUUCAUUGGGCGUAAAGGGUGCGUAGGCGGCGCGGUAAGUCGGGUGUGAAAUCUCGGGGCUUAACUCCGAAACUGCAUUCGAUACUGCCGUGCUUGAGGACUGGAGAGGAGGCUGGAAUUUACGGUGUAGCGGUGAAAUGCGUAGAUAUCGUAAGGAAGACCAGUGGCGAAGGCGGGUCUCUGGACAGUUCCUGACGCUGAGGCACGAAGGUCAGGGGAGCAAACGGG